rnacentral:lncRNA from 1 species
UUGUUAUGGGAAGGCUCGCUGAUUUAUUGAUUGAAAAACCUCAAAUCCUUAAUGAAGUGAGCGAUGAAAUUCAACUAGCUGUGACCGAGCUCAUGCGGAUAAAGACAUUCUUACCUGAUGCUGACUCAAGGAUUGAUGUAGAAAGAAUCUGCAUUUUGGUCCGGGAGGUACGAGAGCUUGCCUAUGAUGCUGAGCAUGCUGUCGAAAGUUUUGUCAUUAAAGCCUCAUCCACUAAAAAACCAUUUCAGUGGAUGAACAGAGUCAAGUUUUCAGGAAAGAUGAAAGAUAUACAAAAAAAGAUGUCCCUCCUCUUCAAUCUAUUUUCUGAUUAUAAUAUCAGACCAAUUUCAGAAUCAUCAACUUCCUCCAACAGAGGACCGGGAAAGCUAAAGCGAUUUUACUCUUUCACUACUCCUGAACCAGAGAUAUUUGUUGGAUUUCACGAGGACGUUGAAUGCUUGGUGCGACAUUUGGUGAAUGAAGCUGAUGAUUCUUACCCACUGAUAUCUAUUUGUGGAAUGGGGGGUCUGGGAAAGACCACUCUAGCUCAAAAGAUAUACAAUCACUCUGCCAUCAAGACUAGAUUUGCUGGUUUAGCAUGGGUAUCAAUCUCCCGAAAGUGGCAAACAGAUCGUGUGUUGCAGAGAAUUCUCAUAUGUCUCGUCCCUGAGAACAAAGAUUCUAUCCUUAAUAUGGACACUGACAAGCUAGUGGAGUAUAUGCUACAAAUCCAGGAAAGGAAGAAAUGUUUGAUAGUUCUCGAUGAUAUAUGGUCAACUGAUGCUUGGGAUGCAUUAAAAGGUGCGNAGAAAUGUUUGAUAGUUCUCGAUGAUAUAUGGUCAACUGAUGCUUGGGAUGCAUUAAAAGGUGCGUUUCCAGCCGGGAAGUCCAUAAGCAAAUUAAUGCUUACAAGCCGUAAUGCUGAGGUUGCUGAGCAUGUAAAUUUAAACGGACUCAUUCACCAGCCAGAAUGUCUAAGUCCAGAACAAAGUUGGGAGCUACUCAAGUUGAAAGCACUUCACACAGGAAACUGCCUAGGUACAUAAGUUUAUUGCGUUAAUUAGAGUUCAUGUAUUUUUUUAACCAUAUGUUUUGAUCGGCAACCUUAACGAACAACAUUUUUUGUUACUUAGUGUGAUAAGUUUGGUUAGAAAUUUGUCAGUAACCUUAAAGAACAUUGUUAUGUUCAAUAACAUUUUGUUCGUGUUCGCACGUUUGAAUUCAGCUCAUUUACAAACCUAUGUAUUAGAAUUGUAAACGAAUCUUACAGUUCAUUAACUGCGGUCUUGAGGUUGAGUUAAUGAGGUCGAGUUCGAACCAUAUAUAUUUUGUUUAAUAACCUUAACGAACUGUAUGGGGUUCAAUAAUUUUUAUUUUCUACUAAAUUUCGGUUCAGUAAAUUUUUCUUGUGUUGACUCGAAGUUUAUCCGAGUUAAGUUCGUUUAGGGCUCUAACUUGAACUUGUCUUUUUAACAUAGUAGUUUAUUUAUAUAUAAUUAAAAUAUAUAAAUGUUGACAUCCAUACGGUUGGAUCGAUGAAAAAUAUUUUUAAAAUUAAAUGAGGACUAAAUACUAGUUAGUGGUACUAAUCAAACUAAUGCUUGACUAAUAAAAUAAAAAACCAAAUAAAAUUAUUUUUUCGUAACUUUGGUUACACCAUAUUUAGUUAAUAUUCUCUUUAUCGAUUUGAUAUAUUAUAUGUAGAAUUUUUGGUUCAACAACAUGUAUAUAUUAUAAAAAAUCUGAAAAUAUUACAUUGUUUGGAGUUAUAACGAGCCGAACUCGAGCCGAACGAGUUCGGACUCGGUUGGCUCGAGUUCUUAACGAAUCGAGCCAAACCGAGCUUUUAUCGAGCCGAGCUCGAGCUUGUUCGUGAACAGCCCUAUGUAUGUACACUUAUGAUUCCAGUUUCUUGUGUAUUGCAGACAUUACCAGAGAUGUAAAUAGGAUGGAAGAACUGGGAAGGGAAAUGGUUGAAUACUGUGCCGGUCUUCCGCUAGCUAUAGUCAUUUUGGGUGGAAUUCUUGUAACAAAACCGUCGCUGAUAGAGUGGGAGAAGGUAUAUCGUGAUAGUAAAUCAUCCCUGAAGGCGGGGAAAGGAUUGGGAGAAGCCUAUCAAAGGGAAAUAUUAAGCUUUUUGGUUUGGAGCUACAAUGAUUUACCCCCUCAACUGAAGCCAUGCUUUCUAUAUUUAUCUAAGUUUGGUGAAGAUAAAUGUAUAAAAGUAAGAACUUUGUAUCAGCUAUGGAUCGCUGAAGGCAUGGUACUCUCAAGUGACAAAAGAAAGGGAGAAACAAUGACACAAGUGGCCGAAUCAUACAUGGGAGAAUUGGUCCAAAGGAGUAUGGUUCAAGUGACAUUUAACAAUGUGGAAUCAUCACUUACAAAGUUUAAAGAUUGUUCUCUGCACGAUCUUAUGAGAGACAUGUCUUUAAUACAAGCAAAAGCAGAAGAUUUUUUUGAAGUAAUACAUUUCCAAAGUGGAAAUGAGUUUCAUCUCAAAUCUGCAGAUUCAAGGUCAGCUUACACUCGACUUGUGAUUCAUUUGGAUGAGGAAUAUUCUAGCAAAAAAGCUAAUUACUACUUUUCUAAGAAAGGCAAUCAAAAAAUCUAUCGAUCAAUGUUAUUCAUUGGAGACUUUGGUCGAAGAAGUUUGCCACGGGCAUUGGGGUCACAUGUUGGCAAUUUUAGGUUCCUGAAAGUGUUCUCUGUGGAGAAUUAUACCAAAUUUUCUGGUGCAUCUUCUCAUAUUAAUUUUGGAAGAGCAUUAGGGGGCCUUGUUUACUUGCGAUAUCUUAGUGUAAGGGGCAGUAAUUUGUUGGUUUUUCCAUCUCUACAAAAGUUAGUGCUAUUACAAACUCUCAAAUUUGAUAUGUUGAACAAGAUAUAUGUUUUACCAUGGUUGUCAAGAGAUGUUUUGCUCAAGCUGGAUUGUUUGCGGCAUCUGUAUUUGCCUAAAUUUCAAGUUGACGUUAUGGGAAGGAAAUCAAAAUUUCGGUUUAAUGGGUUGAGCAAGUUAGAGACACUUGAGAACUUUCACACUAGUUGGUGUGAGGUUAAGGAUCUACGUGAACUGAUCCAUCUUCGGAAACUAAUGCUAACAGUGAGAGGUAGCUUUGAUAUUCUGGAGGAAAUGAUGAAAAACUUGGUUUAUAUAGCCUCCUCACCAUCUUCAUGUCUGAGGUAUUUGGGUGUUUGUAUUGUUGAUUGUGAUAUCGAGCUGAACAAUGGUCUUACUAUCUUGAAACAGUUGGUAUAUGCUGAAAAUUUGAACCUUCGGGAAUUGAUAAUAUAUGGGAGUAUCCCGGAGGUGGGUCUAAUAUUUCCGCUGCGAUAUGUUGGGGAUAAUAAUGCUCAUGUAUCUACAGUUCAUAUUAUAAGUUUAAAUUUAUGGGAAUCAUAUCUGGAAGAAGACCCAAUGCCAAUACUGGAAAUGCUUCCAAUGUUGGGUGCUCUCCGUAUAUUUACGCAUGCAUAUGUGGGGAAGGAGAUGGUAUGCUCCGCAACCGGUUUUCCUAAACUCGUCACUCUUAUUUUGGACAGCUUCCCGAACCUUGAGAAAUGGAGGGUGGAGAAAGGAAGCAUGCCCAUCCUUUCAUGGUUGCGUAUUGAAAGAUGCAACAAGUUGGAAGAGCUCCCAGAAGGCCUAGUGUUCCUCGAGUCCCUUGAAGUACUAAAAAUAUUCCGAAUGUCUCAAGAUUUCAAUGUUAGGCUUAUAAGAGAUGAUGGUGAACAAGGACCCGACUUUCACAAGAUCUCUCACGUCCCUACAAUCAUUAUCGACGAUCAGGAAUACAAUUGAAUGUUUUUGUAGUUUGUAACUUUUUUGUUUUUGUCCUCAAGAACAGAUUUUCUUGAUAUUUGUCACAUAAAAUAUAUAAGAUAUGAGAUCAUUUUGUGUUCCUCUCUAUCUAACAAAACAGCUCAUAGAGCUUGAGUGACUCUUAUAUGGCUAUACCACAAGAAGCCUAUCACAAGAACUCUGCAUCCCAUUCUUAAUGAGUUGUUUGAUAUUUAACACUUAGAAAAAAUUUCAGUUGAACUGCAUGGAGCCAGCUGAUUAAUACAACUAUUAAUUCAUUAUUUAAUUCCUAAAUAAAUAACAAUCAUCUAUCUGUCUACUUAUAUAUUUAAAUGAUAAUCAGGACGACAAAAAGAGUCAGAAAUUAGUUCCGGCUAGCUCCAGUAAACUUGGCUCAACUUAUCUAUUGUGCUAGGAAUGCAAACUCAGAUCUAUAACUAAUACUAACUAAAAUUACUGCAAGUAUAAGCUUUGCUUUGGCAAAGGGGAAUAAUAAUAGUGAACAAUUAUAGAGAAUCUGAUGAUGUGCAGAAGAAACAUGUAUAAGCUGCUCGAUCUCUUAUUCUACUGAUAUUUUAAUACGCAAGUAGAGUUAUUAAUUGAUAAUGUUUUGCUUAUGCCGAGUCAUUUCAUGAUUGUUUAGUAAUUAGUUGUACAACUAUGAGCUGGUCGGUUGUCUGCAUUAUAAGCUUUCAUGGAGGCAGGUUGAUCCGGGAGACUUGUGCGAUGAGAACAGAGGGAACUAUCUUAUUACACUUUCAUUGAUCGUAUCAGGAAAGAGUUCAAGUAUACCAGAAGUAUAUUCUACGUCUAAGCAAAAAUCUUUCAACACAAGUUUAUUCAAUUAACAACAGUCAUAAGCUGUAAGAUCAAUGAUAGACCGCAAGCAAAUGCUUUUUAACAAAAACGUUACCAACAUCGCAUUGCAACAAUAAAUAACAAUGAUAGAAGCGACCGAAAGCAAAUACAAUCCAACAAAAUAACAUCAGCUUCGCAUUGCAAGGUUAUGCAAUUUGAACUUAAGAUCUCUCCAUUAAAUAACAAGCUCUGUACCUUUUGAAAUCAUUUAAUAAUAUCACAUAGAAAAUCUGUAACUUCCCUAUUCUUUGACCGACCUCACCAUGUGUCACAGAACCCAUAGCAACAUCAUAAACAAAUGCUGCUGUACAGUAACAUGGAAUUUAACUAUGACCAGAGAAGCAACAGAGAAUCCAAUGUGCUGAAGACACAUUUAAGCCUAUUCAAAUUUAUAUAAACUUGUUUGGUUUCUGCAGAAGAAUAAGUUAAACAAAUUAAUAAGACCGAAGCAAUUGUGUCGAUUGUUGUGGGAAGGCUCACUGAUUUGUUGAUUGAAAAAGCUCAAAUCCUUCAUGUAGUGAGAGAUGAAAGUCAACUAGCCGUGACUGAGCUUAUGCGGAUAAAGACAUUCUUACCAGAUGCUGACUCAAGGAUUGAUGUAGAAACAAUCCGCAUUUUGGUCCGGGAGGUACGAGAGCUUGCCUAUGAUGCUGAACAUGCUGUCGAAAGUUUUGUUAUUAAAGCCUCAUCCACUAAAAAACCAUUUCAGUGGAUGAACAGAGUCAAG